rnacentral:lncRNA from 1 species
CGCAGCUGGUAAAUGUGGCAUAGGACCUGUAGCAGAGCUGUUCACGUCAGGAACUUGUAGGGGAGGCUGUCUAAGGUGCGACAGAAGGAGUACUUCACAUUAAGAAAGACUAAUUUUCCUGCUGAAU